CAGGCUCCACGCCUGGUGGGUGCCCUUCCGUCAAUUUCUUUAAGUUUCAGCCUUGCGACCAUACUCCCCAGAACCCAAAAACUUUGAUUCUCGUAAGGUGCCGAACGGGUCAUAAUAGAAACACCGUCCGAUCCCUAGUCGGCAUAGUUUAUGGUUAAGACUACGACGGUAUCUGAUCGUCUUCGAUCCCCUAACUUUCGUUCCCUGAUUAAUGAAAACAUCCUUGGCGAAUGCUUUCGCAGUAGUUAGUCUUCAGCAAAUCCAAGAAUUUCACCUCUGACAGCUGAAUACUGACGCCCCGACUAUCCCUAUUAAUCAUUACGGCGGUCCUAGAAACCAACAAAAUAGAACCGCACGUCCUAUUCUAUUAUUCCAUGCUAAUGUAUUCGAGCAAAGGCUGCUUUGAACACUCUAAUUUUUCACAGUAAAGUCCUGGUUCCCCCAGCCAGUGAAGGCAUGAGAUUCCCCAGAAGGAAAGGUCCAGCCGGACCAGUACUCGCGGUGAGGGGACGGCCAGCCGACCAAGGUUACUACGAGUUUUUAACUGCAACAACUUUAAUAUACGCUAUUGGAGCUGGAAUUACCGGCUGCUGGCCAGACUUGCCUCCAAUUGUUCUCGUUAGGGAUUUAGAUUGUACUCAUUCCAAUUACGAGACCCAAAGACCCGUAUAGUAUUUAUUGUCACUACUCCCGUGUCGGAUUGGGUAUUUGCGCGCCUGCUGCCUUCCUUGGAUGUGGUAGCCGUUUCUCAGGCUCCUCUCCGGAAUCGAACCCUAAUUCCCGUUACCGUUGCCACCAUGGUAGGCCACUAUCCUACCAUCGAAAGUGAUAGGGCAGAAAUUUGAAUGAACCAUCGCCGGCGCAAGGCCAUGCGAUUCGUUAAGUUAUUAUGAUUCACCAAGGAGCCCGAGGGCAUUGGUUUUUUAUCUAAUAAAUACACCCUUCCGAAGUCGAGGUUUCAGCAUGUAUUAGCUCUAGAAUUACCAAGGUAUCCAUGUAGUAAGGUACUAUCAAAUAAACGAUAACUGAUUUAAUGAGCCAUUCGCAGUUUCACAGUAUAAAGUGCUUAUACUUAGACAUGCAUGGCUUAAUCUUUGAGCAAGCAUAUGACUACUGGCAGAAUAACCGAUAC
rnacentral:rRNA from 1 species